rnacentral:tmRNA from 1 species
GGGGGCGAACGGUUUCGACGGAGGCCGUGGAGCCUGCGGAGGCGGGCCGAGUCGCGUGAUCUCGACAAAACGCGCAAAACAUUAACUGCUGAGAAUCAACCCUUGGCAUUCGCGGCUUAAUGCCGCGACGUUCCCUCAGACAGGCCGACUGGUCUGAGCUGGGGCGUCAGAAAGUGUCGGCUUUCUCCCGACCCGAGGCUCGUAAGGAAGGGAGGAGGAAAAACGAGCUGGACGGAUUCUGAGCCUGUCUGUGGGCAUGGAGCCGUCGAGACUUAAUACACAGACUACGCUCGUAGUCUCCGCUUGAGCCAGCCUUUCGGACGGGGGUUCGAUUCCCCCCGCCUCCACCA